UGAAGCAGGUGGAUGCUGGAGGUGUUCAGUUUAUUGUUGGACGAUACUCCAUACUGUCGGACACCCACAAGGGAACAGACACCCCUUCCAGGGCCAGGAAGUGUGAAGAACUACAGUUGUGGACCCUUUGGAUGCUGGGCAGUCAACAAGAACGAUGUUAUCUACUUAAUGAGUCUGAAUCAAGACUGUCAAAACAACGGGUGGAGUCACAUUGACUGCAAGUUUUUUGUGAUUGAGGUGGAAACUGAUGGUAGUGGGGUCAACUUUUGGGGUGAUGUUUAAACUAGGUAAGGUUGUGUUAGGUUCUGAACAAACAGAGUACAAACUCACAAAAAGCUCAAACUAAGUUAAUUCACCCACUGGUCCUCCCACUAGCCGGAAUCAACUCCUUGCACAUCUAGACAGCCAAUACAUCUCUGUUGCUAGUCAAGAACUUGUUUGGUUCCUCUUACUGGUGUAGUCAUGGCCCCGCUUGACGCUAAAACCUUUGUGGUCUGUUCCUUCUCACUCCAUCUGACCUGUGACCUGGGCCGAAUUCCUCUCUCCUCCUUAAUCCACGCCUGUCCUCCCUUAUCUGUGACUGAAACCAGACAUUUGCCCUGUGCUUCCCCCCUUAGGAUCCAUGAGAUUCAACAAUAACAUGUUAGGACAGAAUGUAAUCUUUCUUCAUUCCCAUGUCUCAGUCAACAACUUUCCAUACACCUGCAGUACCAGUCAAAAGUAAGGACACAUCUACUCAUUCAAGGGUUUUUCUUUAGUUUAACUAUUUUCUACAUUGUAGAAUAAUAGUGAAGACAUCAAAACUGUGAAAUGACACAUAUGGAAUCGUGUAGUUGCCAAAAAAGUGUUAAACAAAUCAAAAUAUAUUUAAUAUUUUAGAUUCUUCAAAGUAGUAUCACAGAGUGAUCCAAGAUGGCAACCCGCCUCACCCAAUGUCAUACGGAUCCGCUAUUGUUUUUUGACCUUACAGCUAGAACCUCCAUCAGAAGCUAGCCAUCAGAUGCUAAUCAGCUAAUUAGCUACUAGCAAGUUAGUCAUUGUUAGCCACUGCUAGCGGCCUUUACCUCUAGCUCAGACACCAGCCACAUUUACCCUGGAUAAUAUCCGCCAGUCUGCUCAGUGCGAUAUCAACCCUGAGAAUAUUGGACUGCUUUUCUCCACCAUUACUCCAGAUUACUCCAUUACUGGACCAUUACUCCAGAUCACCACAGCUAGCUAGCUGCUACCGACUGGCCCAGCCCCGAAGCUGGCCUUUGAGCCAGGCCCAUCUCCCGGCCUGCCCAGUGGACCCUAUGAUCACUCGGUUGCACAGCUGAUGCCCCCCUGACUCUUCACUAGCAUGACUAGAAGCCACUACAUCGCUGGAUUCCUGCCGUAAGCUCUGAACCUUCUGCUAGCCCUGGCCUGCUAACCUUUAUGAACGCUGUGUCUCCCGCUUGCUAGCGUAGUAACGACUUCCCUGUUUCAUAUUGCUGUUCACUGGACCCUAUGAUGCCUGGCUCCAUAGCUGAUGCCUGCUGGACUGUUCAUUAAUCACGGUCCUCGCCAUUUUACCUGUUGUUGUUGUCUUAGCUGAUUAGCUGUUGCUGUCUUACCCGUUGUUAACUUAGCUUACUCUCCCAAUCAACAACUGUGAUUGCUUUAUGCCUCGCUUUAUGUCUCUCUCUAAUGUCAAUAUGGCUUGUAUACUGUUGUUUAGGGUAGUUAUCAUUGUUUUAUUUUACUGCGGAGCCCCUAUCCCCACUCAACAUGCCUCGGAUACCGCCUUUCCCCCCACAAAUGGGGUGACCUCAACUAGCACCUCCAGAGAUGCAACUUCUCUUAUUGUCACUCAAUGCCUAGGUUUACCUCCACGGUACCCUCACCCUAGCAAACCCCUGUCUGUACAUUAUGCCCUGAAUCUUUUCUACCAUGCCCAGAAAUCUGCUCCUUUUAUUCUCUGUCCCCAAUGCAAUAGACAACCAUAUUUGAUAGCCUUUAGAUGUAAAUCAAAUCAAAAUCAAAUCAAAUGUAUAUGUAUAGCCCUUCUUACAUCAGCUGAUAUCUCAAAGUGCUGUACAGUAACUCAUUCUAAAACCCCAAACAGCAAGCAAUGCAGGUGUAGAAGCACGGUGGCUAGGAAAAACUCCCUAGAAAGGCCAAAACCUAGGAAGAAACCUAGAGAGGAACCAGGCUAUGAGGGGUGGCCAGUCCUCUUCUGGCUGUGCUGGGUGGAGAUUAUAACAGAACAUGGCCAAGAUGUUCAAAUGUUCAUAAAUUACAAGCAUGGUCAAAUAAUAAUAAUCACAGUAGUUGUCGAGGGUGCAACAGGUCAGCACCUCAGGAGUAAAUGUCAGUUGGCUUUUCAUAGCCGAUCAUUGAGAGUAUCUCUACCGGUCCUGCUGUCUCUUGAGAGUUGAAAACAGCAGGUCUGGGGCAGGUAGCACAUCCAGUGAACAGGUCAGGGUUCCAUAGCCGCAGGCCUAACAGUUGAAACUGGAGGAGCAGCACAGCCAGGUGGACUGGGGACAGCAAGGAGUCAUCAUGCCAGGUUGUCCUGAGGCAUGGUCCUAGGGCUCAGGUUCUCCGAGAGAGAGAAAGUAAGAAAGAGAGAAAGAGAGAGAGCAUACUUAAAUUCACACAGUGUCAUGUCUUCCACUGAAGUCUGUUCCUCUCCUUGUUCGGGCGGCGUUCGGCGGUUGGCGUCACCGGAUUUCUAGCCACUGUCACGCCCUGGCCAUAGAGAGGCUUUUAUUCUCUAUUUUGGUUAGGCCAGGGUGUGACUAGGGUGGGCAUUCUAUGUUCCUUUUUCUAUGUUUUUGUAUUUCUUUGUUUUUGGCCGGGUAUGGUUCUCAAUCAGGGACAGCUGUCUAUUGUUGUCUCUGAUUGAGAACCGUACUUAGGUAGCUCUUGCCCACAUGUGUUUUGCGGGUAGUUGCUUUCUGAUUUGUACCUGACGGUGCUGUUUCGGUUGUACUUUUUGUUACGUUGUAUUUAAUAAAUAACAACGGCUAUUACAGCCACCUUCGGUCCACUUUUCAUUUUCUAUUUGUUUUGUCUUCCUACACACAAAGUUCUCAUUUCCCUCAUUAAGUGUUGUGUAUUUAACCCUCUGUUCCUCCCCAUGUCUUUGUGUUGAAUUGUUUGUUGUAAGUGCUUGUGCACAUGUUUACUGGUGCGUGUCGGGUUUUGUACACAUGUUUGUUAUUGCUUUAUGCUGUUAGUUUUGAAAUUAAACUGCUCCGGCUAUUACCUG